CCGAAACAUCGGUUCCCAUAAGAUCACCGAAGUUAAGCAAUGCCAAGCCUGGUUAGUACCUAGAUGGGUAACCGCUUGAGAAUUCCAGGUGCUGUAAG